rnacentral:rRNA from 14 species
UGAAGAGUUUGAUCAUGGCUCAGAUUGAACGCUGGCGGCAGGCCUAACACAUGCAAGUCGAGCGGUAGAGAGAAGCUUGCUUCUCUUGAGAGCGGCGGACGGGUGAGUAAUGCCUAGGAAUCUGCCUGGUAGUGGGGGAUAACGUUCGGAAACGGACGCUAAUACCGCAUACGUCCUACGGGAGAAAGCAGGGGACCUUCGGGCCUUGCGCUAUCAGAUGAGCCUAGGUCGGAUUAGCUAGUUGGUGGGGUAAUGGCUCACCAAGGCGACGAUCCGUAACUGGUCUGAGAGGAUGAUCAGUCACACUGGAACUGAGACACGGUCCAGACUCCUACGGGAGGCAGCAGUCGGGAAUAUUGGACAAUGGGCGCAAGCCUGAUCCAGCCAUGCCGCGUGUGUGAAGAAGGCCUUAGGGUUGUAAAGCACUUU